rnacentral:tRNA from 1 species
GGCUCGAUGGCGUAGUUGGUUAUCGCAUCUGUCUAACAGCUCAACGGGAUCCUUCCUUAGGCGAAGUGCACAGAAGGUCGCAGUUUCGAGCACUGCUCGAGUCA